rnacentral:rRNA from 1 species
AUUGAACGCUGGCGGCGUGCCUAACACAUGCAAGUCGAGCGGUAACAGGUGUAGCAAUACAUGCUGACGAGCGGCGAACGGGUGAGUAAUGCUUCGGAAUCUACCCAAUGGUGGGGAAUAACCAGCCGAAAGGUUGGCUAAUACCGCAUACGUCCCACGGGAGAAAGCAGGGGAUCGCAAGACCUUGCGCCAAUGGAUGAGCCGAAGUCGGAUUAGCUAGUUGGAGGGUAACGGCCUACCAAGGCGACGAUCCGUAGCUGGUCUGAGAGGACGACCAGCCACACUGGGACUGAGACACGGCCCAGACUCCUACGGGAGGCAGCAGUGGGGAAUAUUGGACAAUGGGGGAAACCCUGAUCCAGCGACGCCGCGUGUGUGAAGAAGGCCUGCGGGUUGUAAAGCACUUUUUAGUGGGGAUGAAAUGUUCAGGG